GACGAACGCUGGCGGCGUGCUUAACACAUGCAAGUCGAACGGAAAGGCCCUGCUUUUGUGGGGUGCUCGAGUGGCGAACGGGUGAGUAACACGUGAGUAACCUGCCCUUGACUUUGGGAUAACUUCAGGAAACUGGGGCUAAUACCGGAUAGGAGCUCCUGCUGCAUGGUGGGGGUUGGAAAGUUUCGGCGGUUGGGGAUGGACUCGCGGCUUAUCCGCUUGUUGGUGGGGUAGUGGCUUACCAAGGCUUUGACGGGUAGCCGGCCUGAGAGGGUGACCGGCCACAUGGGGACUGAGAGACGGCCCAGACGCCUACGGGAGGCAGCAGUGGGGAAUAUUGCACAAUGGGCGGGAGCCUGAUGCAGCAACGCCGCGUGCGGGAUGACGGCCUUCGGGUUGUAAACCGCUUUCGCCUGUGACGAAGCGUGAGUGACGGUAAUGGGUAAAGAAGCACCGGCUAACUACGU
rnacentral:rRNA from 1 species